rnacentral:rRNA from 1 species
AUUGAACGCUGGCGGCAUGCCUUACACAUGCAAGUCGAACGGCAGCGGGCCUUCGGGUGCCGGCGAGUGGCGAACGGGUGAGUAAUGCAUCGGAACGUGCCAUUGAGUGGGGGAUAACGUAGCGAAAGUUACGCUAAUACCGCAUAUUCUGUGAGCAGGAAAGCAGGGGACCGCAAGGCCUUGCGCUCUUUGAGCGGCCGAUGUCAGAUUAGCUAGUUGGUGAGGUAAAGGCUUACCAAGGCGACGAUCUGUAGCGGGUCUGAGAGGAUGAUCCGCCACACUGGAACUGAGACACGGUCCAGACUCCUACGGGAGGCAGCAGUGGGGAAUUUUGGACAAUGGGCGCAAGCCUGAUCCAGCCAUGCCGCGUGAGUGAAGAAGGCCUCGGUUGUAAGG